AGAGCGCGUGUGGCGGCCGAGCACAUGGGCCCGCGGGCCGGGCGGGCUCGGGGCGGCCGGGACGAGGAGGGGCGACGACGAGCUGCGAGCAAAGAUGUGCCCCGGGACCCCCGGCACCUUCCAGUGGAUUUCCUUGCGGAAAGGAUGUUGGCGGUCCCUGUGACCUGUGGAGACACGGCCAGAUCUGCCCUCCAGACCAUAGCUGUCUGCAGUGCAGGAAGCCAACUAUUAAGGGGAAACAAAAGUGUUCUUAGGAGUCCUGCUGUCACUGUGGAUUGAGCCGGUGAAGCCCUGAGGGAUUUCAUCGCUGAGGUGGAUGGAGAAGCAGCUGGGGGCCUUGGCUGUAAGGACCCCUAAGG
rnacentral:lncRNA from 1 species